rnacentral:misc_RNA from 1 species
UAGUUGAUGCAUUGUUAGAAGCCAAAACAUGGAGCUAUAGAAUUUGGAAUAGAUUUUGUUUGUUUUCUACCCCAAGGUAGAAUGAGGGGCAAUGGGAUAAGGACCUUUGAGAUUGUAUGAGGAAAGUUAGGUGAGAUAUGCAGCCAAAGUAGGUAGUAACCUGAAGGUGUGCAACGAUAACUCAAAUUGUCUCAUUAGACAAAGAAAUGAAGUCAGUAGGUAGUAAGUUAAAUAAAACUCAACCUAAUAGAUUCAAUUAUGCAUGAUGAGAGAUAAGAAUAAUGGAUAAUAACACAAAGAUUUGAUGUUAGAAUUCAGAAUGGUGAGACAUAGUUAUAGAAUCUGUAAUCAGAGGUUAGGCAGAUGUUUUCAAUGUGACCAACCGGAUAAUUUUGUAAGGAAACAUGAGUGACAGUUUGAUAAUAGGUAACAGAACAAUAGUAGAGGACAGGACAGGUAUAGAUGUUACUUACAAGUUACUAAGAAGUACAAAGAUCAAUGUGAUGAAUGUAGGUAAGGCUAGAGAUAGUUCUGGAAGGAUGUGAUAGUGAGAGGUAUCUUCCAGAAUAUUGCAAAAGACAGGAAUACAGGAUAAUGAUGCUAGGUAUGAAAUACAAAUGGAGUGUAAAUAGAUAUAAUAAAUUAUGAGAUUAUAUGCCAGACAGAGCAGUGAUACAAUAAGGAGUUAGUGCAGUGAAAUCCUGUAGAUAGAGCACAAUAAUUGUGAAGAGAUAAUGAAAAUUAAAGAGGAUGAUCAAGAGAUAUGGGUAAAUUAUG